CCCUUAGAUGUUCUGGGCCGCACGCGCGCUACACUGAUGCAUUCAACGAGUUUUACCUUGGCCGAGAGGCCUGGGCAAUCUUUUAAACCUGCAUCGUGAUAGGGAUAGAUUAUUGCAAUUAUUAAUCUUGAACGAGGAAUUCCUAGUAAACGCGAAUCAUCAAUUCGCAUUGAUUACGUCCCUGCCCUUUGUACACACCGCCCGUCGCACCUACCGAUUGAAUGGUCCGGUGAGGCCUCGGGAUUGUGGCCAGCUUCCUUUAUUGGGAGUUGGCUGCGAGAACUUGUCCAAACCUUAUCAUUUAGAGGAAGGUGAAGUCGUAACA
rnacentral:rRNA from 1 species